UGGGGAAUAUUGGGCAAUGGGCGCAAGCCUGACCCAGCAACGCCGCGUGAGGGAAGAAGGUUUUCGGAUUGUAAACCUCUGUCGCAGGGGACGAAGGAAGUGACGGUACCCUGUGAGGAAGCCCCGGCUAACUACGUGCCAGCAGCCGCGGUAAGACGUAGGGGGCGAGCGUUGUCCGGAAUUACUGGGCGUAAAGGGUGCGUAGGCGGCAAUUCAAGUCUGAUGUGAAAUUCCCGUGCUUAACAUGGGGCUUGCAUCGGAAACUGAAUAGCUAGAGUGCAGGAGAGGUAAGCGGAAUUCCUAGUGUAGCGGUGAAAUGCAUAGAUAUUAGGAGGAACACCAGUGGCGAAGGCGGCUUACUGGACUGUAACUGACGCUGAAGCACGAAAGCGUGGGGAGCAAACAGG
rnacentral:rRNA from 2 species